UUAAAAAUAUACGUAAAUUUGAUAUGAUGAAAAUGACACAACUUGGAGAAAUCAGAGAACUAAAUCUUCGCUGCUCUGUGAUUAUUAUGUGAUAGUAAUAGAGUUGCAACAGGCAACAAUAACAGACCAUAUUACAGCCUCCUUAAAUUUUCAUGGAGGAACUUCUGUAUAUUUAUCUUUACCUAAACAAAGUUGCCCAUUACAAUAGUCCUAGACGGCACACUGGCAAUGUUCUGCGUCACUUUCCAGACCAGCUGGUUCCUUCAUAUAUCGCUCCACUGUAUCAGAUUCCUUAUACUUUUAAAAGCUACUACGAAAAGGAAAAUGGAACAACUUAUUAAGAAAAUCAUGCCCACAUAAUUAAAAAUAGGAUAAGAGUGGCACCCACAGGCUUAGCCUGGUGGGUGUCUCUCAACUUAAGUAUAUCGAGUACUCCCUCUCCUUUGUAAACCCAAAAAGGAGAAAAAUGUUAAGGGGUGAUGAAACGAAGAGAAUGCAUUUUUAUACACUAUGAAUUUCAAUUUAAGACACAAGGGACUGGGAGAACAAGAACAGCUGAAUGCAGUAAAAUAUCUUUUAUUCUUAACAAGAAUCCAACACCAAUUAAACACAUGGCUAAAGUUUUAUCAAAGAGAAAAACAGUAUGAAACGCUAAAAAAUUGAAGGGAAACGGAAAAGACAAUGAAGGGAAUCUUUUAGGAUAAAUCUAAAUGUGCAACUGGACCAGUAAUUAGUUUCAUCUCAUGGUGUGAUGGGAGCUGUGAACAAUCAGAUGCUUUAAAAGGAAAGAAGCAUAAUGAGGGAAUGCAGCAUCAAGAAAGCAGUUCAUGUAUGAUCUAAGCACUGCAAUGCAUCAGAAGUGCAAACUGAGGACUUUUUGUGAAGGCUACUUUCAGAAGGAAAUGAAGACCAAAAUUCAUCAAGGAAGAACGAACAAUGUUUUGAGGAUGCUACCUAGGCAUGGAUGUAUCUGAGAUAUAGACUUAUAUUUUUGAGCAUGAUUAUAAGCACAGCUUACUUUCUUGAUUUGUCCAUGCUAGUUCUAGGUGAUGUUUAUUGUAAAAAUAAAAUGUUACCGGUGGUGAAGCACCAUGUUACUUGAAGAACAUAAUAUAAAUGAUUCAGAUGUUUCCUGUACUUUAUGUUUUGGCUUUUAUAUAGAAACUGGCAUGCAUACACGAGGUAGGAUAAAUCUUUUAACCCAGAGCAAUACAUAUGAACAUGUGAUCAUGCAGACAGAAGCAUAUGUGAAAACUCAACUAUUAGAAUAAAAUUCAGUACCCAUCAUCUCUCAGCGCCAAACUUUCAAUGUUGAAUGGGAAGAAAAAGAAAGGAAAAUUGGGAAAAAAUGUGAGCAGGGGUGAGGGGGGCUAAUGUAUAAUUGAUGAAAUUGACUCGUAUAUUUUAACUGCUCCUCUUCACACGUGGUGGACUGAGUCAUACAAGAAUUUCUACAGAUGAGACACUAACAAAUAACAAGGACUAAAUUUCAUGCAAAGGCCAUUCUCUAAUUAACUUUAUGUGGUCAGUAACUCUUUAUAUUUGGAGCCAUAAGGAAUGAGAUGUACCUUGAUUUUGGUUGUACUGUUGCCAGGCUUAUCAGUAGCCAGGCUUAUCAGUAGCCAUGCUUGGCUUCUAAUCAGCUGGUUUCAGUAUUUGAAUUGAACACACUGAAUCCUGACCCACGGUCAUAAUAGCACCAUCAUUGUCAAACUCUCCACAAUAAUUAGGAGCUGAAAAUAAGGUUACAAGUCCUCUGUUCGCAAAAAACUCAUAUCCAUUUUCUACAACCUGAUGAGCUCGACAAAUCAAAUCGAGAUCAUGUUUUUGCAGAAAGUCUGUCACCCUAUCAGCACCAAAGGUAUAUGAAACACCCCUUUCAUUUAUUCCCCAACCUUUUACGUCUCCACUAGGAUCAGACCAGAGGAGAUCACAUAACAAACCAGAGUCUGGAACAACACUAGGUCGUUGUAAAUUCACUAUCUGAUCCAAACUGUGCAGAUCAGGAGAAAGUCCACCAUGCAUGCAGAGAAUUCUUUCAUCAACAAUAGCUGCCACAGGCAAGCAGUUGAAACAAUCUGUGAAUAUUUUCCAUAGUUUGACAUUGAAUCUUCUUUUGCACUCAUCAUAAAAUCCAUAUAUACGGUUUACAGAAGCACAUUCAUGGUUUCCCCUCAGUAGGAAAAAUUUUUCAGGAUAUUUUAUUUUAUAUGCAAGGAGAAGGCAUAUAGUUUCCAGGCUUUGCUUUCCGCGAUCUACAUAAUCCCCUAAGAAUAAAUAGUUAGUAUGAGGUGGAAAUCCGCCACAUCUGAAAAGCUUCAGAAGAUCAGAAUAUUGUCCGUGUAUAUCUCCACAGAUUGUGAUAGGAGAAUCAAGCUCCAGAAGAUUGGGCUGACUCAAGAAAAUCUCCCUGGAGGUGAUACAAAGCUGCUGAAUCUCAGUCUCAGAAAGCCGCACUUGUUUCCCUGGUUGGCCUUUAACUUCAAGCAACCUCUUAAUCACACCAUCAAGAACAGCAGGAUCCAUACCUCCCAGCCUCCUUUUUUUUUCUCAACCUUCAAGCAACAAGACGGAAAAGAUAAAGCAAGUAAGAAGGAGAAUAAGGGCCAACGCCACUACCAGCAGCACUACAAGUCCUUUGACUCAAUUGAGCUGUUAUAAAUACCAAAAUGCUUUUUAUAAAGAGGGAGAAGAUUAAAGGGGAUGGGAAAUUGUGUUUUUUAUUUCAUUGUAGUGGAGCAAAGAAUGAAUGGUGCACGUUGGCUUCUGAUUUUGAAGAAGAACAAAGAAUAUGUUCUUGUGUUAUUGAGAAAUGAAAAUGUGAUGUUUUGAGAUGGUAUAGAAUUUAAAGGAAGAAAGAGAGCUAAAGUAAGUAGGUAGGUGAAAAUGCCAAUCAAGAGAAAUAUAAAAAAGCAAGAAAGACGACCGAGACGCUUGCUUUGCUUGUUUGUUUCUUUGUUUAGGAGCUCUUGCUAAAGUUGCAGGCAGGCAGGCAGGCUUCAGCAGCCACCUGUUGACGCAUGUAAGCUGUGAGCAUGCACUAGUCUUGGUCUUGCAGUUUCAAACUUUCAACUUUGAAGUAAUGUAAACAAGGAAAGGGCAUGGCUACCAUUAGAGCAUUCUCAUUUACUUUACAUUGAGCAUCUUUU
rnacentral:misc_RNA from 1 species